AUAUAUCCUGAGAGGUGAUGCGUAGCCGUAGCGGCGAAAUCCAUGAUCCUAUGCUGCCGAGAAAAGCCUCUAGCGAGCUGGUACAUGGCCCGUACCCCAAACCGACACAGGUGGUCAGGUAGAGAAUACUAGGGCGAUCGAGAGAACUGUGGUUAAGGAACUCGGCAAAAUGCCCCCGUAACUUCGGGAGAAGGGGGACCAGUCCUGGUGACGACAUUUACUGUCUGAGCUGGGGUUGGUCGCAGAGACCAGAGAGAAGCGACUGUUUACUAAAAACACAGGUCCGUGCGAAGUCGUAAGACGAUGUAUACGGACUGACGCCUGCCCGGUGCUGGAAGGUUAAGAGGACCGGUCAGCCACUUCGGUGGCGAAGCUGAGAAUUUAAGCCCCAGUAAACGGCGGUGGUAACUAUAACCAUCCUAAGGUAGCGAAAUUCCUUGUCGGGUAAGUUCCGACCUGCACGAAUGGCGUAACGACUUCUCUGCUGUCUCAACCACAGACUCGGCGAAAUUGCCGUACGAGUAAAGAUGCUCGUUACGCGCGGCAGGACGAAAAGACCCCGGGACCUUCACUAUAGCUUGGUAUUGGUGUUCGGUUCGGUUUGUGUAGGAUAGGUGGGAGACUGUGAAACUCGCACGCCAGUGUGGGUGGAGUCAUUGUUGAAAUACCACUCUGACCGUAUUGGACAUCUAACCUCGGACCAUGAUCUGGUUCAGGGACAGUGCCUGGUGGGUAGUUUAACUGGGGCGGUUGCCUCCCAAAAAGUAACGGAGGCGCCCAAAGGUUCCCUCAGCCUGGUUGGCAAUCAGGUGUUGAGUGUAAGUGCACAAGGGAGCUUGACUGUGAGACGUACAUGUCGAGCAGGGACGAAAGUCGGGACUAGUGACCCGGCACCGGCAAGUGGAAGCGGUGUCGCUCAACGGAUAAAAGGUACCCCGGGGAUAACAGGCUGAUCUUCCCCAAGAGUCCAUAUCGACGGGAUGGUUUGGCACCUCGAUGUCGGCUCGUCGCAUCCUGGGGCUGGAGUAGGUCCCAAGGGUUGGGCUGUUCGCCCAUUAAAGCGGCACGCGAGCUGGGUUUAGAACGUCGUGAGACAGUUCGGUCUCUAUCCGCCGCGCGCGUAAGAAACUUGAGGAAACCUGUCCCUAGUACGAGAGGACCGGGACGGACGAACCUCUGGUGUGCCAGUUGUUCCACCAGGAGCACCGCUGGUUAGCUACGUUCGGAAGGGAUAACCGCUGAAAGCAUCUAAGCGGGAAGCCUGUUCCAAGAUGAGGUUUCUCACCACCUAGCGUGGUUAAGGCCCCCCACAGACCAUGGGGUUGAUAGGCCAGAACUGUAAGCACAGCAAUGUGUUCAGGUGACUGGUACUAAUCGGCCGAGGACUUACC
rnacentral:rRNA from 1 species